AUACAUAGGUGGCAAGCGUUAUCCGGAUUUAUUGGGCGUAAAGGGUGCGUAGACGGUUUUGCAAGUCUGAGGUUAAAUUUAGGAGCUCAACUCCUAAUCGCCUUGGAAACUACAAGACUAGAGUAUAGGAGAGGUUAGUGGAAUUCCAUGUGUAGCGGUGGAAUGUGUAGAUAUAUGGAGGAACACCAGUGGCGAAGGCGGCUAACUGGCCUAUCACUGACGUUGAGGCACGAAAGCGUGGGGAGCAAAUAGGAUUAGAUACCCUAGUAGUCCACGCUGUAAACGAUGAGUACUAAGUGUUGCCAUAAAGGCAGUGCUGUAGCUAACGCAUUAAGUACUCCGCCUGAGUAGUAUGCUCGCAAGAGUGAA
rnacentral:rRNA from 1 species